UUUUUAGACAGUGCACAUCCUGUAAAACGUGAAGAAGGCAAGGGAAAGAAAAGCGAAGCUGUUAUUGAAUACCCUGAUCUUAAAGUGUAAAUGGUCAGAUCAAAUGACGAAUGGAAAAACAAGAACAUUAUCGUUUUCAUUUUAAAGCUAAAUGUGCCACAUCAAUGAAAUCUUUUUAUUGUCUGCAAAAGAGGUUUAUGGGAAAGCAAUUGGCAAGAAGGAAAUCAAUGAUACCACAAUUCAAGAUCCUCUUUUAUGUAUGUUUUAAUUUAAGGCUCUUAGCAAGUUAGAUUAAGUAACCAAGUUGGAUAUUACAUGGCCAGAUUGCUAUGAAUUUUCAUUGGAUUUUACAAUGUUAUAUAAUUAACUACUUUUUUGUCUUCAAACAACUAACGAUCUAAAACUGAAGGCGAAUGAAAUUUAAAUUUGAUUUCCAUACAUCAUGUUUCUUAUGUAAAAUAUACAAUAAAUUUUAAAAUGUCUAAUUUAGUAAUACAUAGCAUUUCUUCAAGUAUAACAAUGUAUAACAAUACAUAUAACUAUAUAUAACAAUAUAAUAUGGAUGUCAUGACUUGUAACGCAAUUAAGGAGUUGCUCGAUCUGUGCUCAAAA